rnacentral:rRNA from 1 species
AACGGUUAAGUUAGAAAGGGCGCACGGUGGAUGCCUUGGCACUAGGAGCCGAUGAAGGACGGGACGAACACCGAUAUGCUUCGGGGAGCUGUAAGCAAGCUUUGAUCCGGAGAUUUCCGAAUGGGGAAACCCACCACUCGUAAUGGAGUGGUAUCCAUAUCUGAAUUCAUAGGAUAUGAGAAGGCAGACCCGGGGAACUGAAACAUCUAAGUACCCGGAGGAAGAGAAAGCAAAUGCGAUUCCCUGAGUAGCGGCGAGCGAAACGGGAUUAGCCCAAACCAAGAGGCUUGCCUCUUGGGGUUGUAGGACACUCUGUACGGAGUUACAAAAGAACGAGGUAGAUGAAGAGGUCUGGAAAGGCCCGCCAUAGGAGGUAACAGCCCUGUAGUCAAAACUUCGUUCUCUCCUGAGUGGAUCCUGAGUACGGCGGAACACGUGAAAUUCCGUCGGAAUCCGGGAGGACCAUCUCCCAAGGCUAAAUACUCCCUAGUGACCGAUAGUGAACCAGUACCGUGAGGGAAAGGUGAAAAGCACCCCGGAAGGGGAGUGAAAGAGAUCCUGAAACCGUGUGCCUACAAGUAGUCAGAGCCCGUUAACGGGUGAUGGCGUGCCUUUUGUAGAAUGAACCGGCGAGUUACGAUCCCGUGCAAGGUUAAGCAGAAGAUGCGGAGCCGCAGCGAAAGCGAGUCUGAAUAGGGCGCAUGAGUACGUGGUCGUAGACCCGAAACCAGGUGAUCUACCCAUGUCCAGGGUGAAGUUCAGGUAACACUGAAUGGAGGCCCGAACCCACGCACGUUGAAAAGUGCGGGGAUGAGGUGUGGGUAGGGGUGAAAUGCCAAUCGAACCUGGAGAUAGCUGGUUCUCUCCGAAAUAGCUUUAGGGCUAGCCUCAAGGUAAGAGUCUUGGAGGUAGAGCACUGAUUGGACUAGGGGCCCCUACCGGGUUACCGAAUUCAGUCAAACUCCGAAUGCCAAUGACUUAUCCUUGGGAGUCAGACUGCGAGUGAUAAGAUCCGUAGUCGAAAGGGAAACAGCCCAGACCGCCAGCUAAGGUCCCAAAGUAUACGUUAAGUGGAAAAGGAUGUGGAGUUGCUUAGACAACCAGGAUGUUGGCUUAGAAGCAGCCACCAUUUAAAGAGUGCGUAAUAGCUCACUGGUCGAGUGACUCUGCGCCGAAAAUGUACCGGGGCUAAACGUAUCACCGAAGCUGCGGACUGUUCUUCGAACAGUGGUAGGAGAGCGUUCUAAGGGCUGUGAAGCCAGACCGGAAGGACUGGUGGAGCGCUUAGAAGUGAGAAUGCCGGUAUGAGUAGCGAAAGAGGGGUGAGAAUCCCCUCCACCGAAUGCCUAAGGUUUCCUGAGGAAGGCUCGUCCGCUCAGGGUUAGUCGGGACCUAAGCCGAGGCCGAAAGGCGUAGGCGAUGGACAACAGGUUGAUAUUCCUGUACCACCUCCUCACCAUUUGAGCAAUGGGGGGACGCAGGAGGAUAGGGUAAGCGCGGUAUUGGAUAUCCGCGUCCAAGCAGUUAGGCUGGGAAAUAGGCAAAUCCGUUUCCCAUAAGGCUGAGCUGUGAUGGCGAGCGAAAUAUAGUAGCGAAGUUCCUGAUUCCACACUGCCAAGAAAAGCCUCUAGCGAGGUGAGAGGUGCCCGUACCGCAAACCGACACAGGUAGGCGAGGAGAGAAUCCUAAGGUGAUCGAGAGAACUCUCGUUAAGGAACUCGGCAAAAUGACCCCGUAACUUCGGGAGAAGGGGUGCUCUGUUAGGGUGCAAGCCCGAGAGAGCCGCAGUGAAUAGGCCCAGGCGACUGUUUAGCAAAAACACAGGUCUCUGCGAAGCCGUAAGGCGAAGUAUAGGGGCUGACGCCUGCCCGGUGCUGGAAGGUUAAGAGGAGCGCUUAGCGUAAGCGAAGGUGCGAAUUGAAGCCCCAGUAAACGGCGGCCGUAACUAUAACGGUCCUAAGGUAGCGAAAUUCCUUGUCGGGUAAGUUCCGACCCGCACGAAAGGCGCAACGAUCUGGGCACUGUCUCAACGAGAGACUCGGUGAAAUUAUAGUACCUGUGAAGAUGCAGGUUACCCGCGACAGGACGGAAAGACCCCGUGGAGCUUUACUGCAGCCUGAUAUUGAAUGUUGGUACAGCUUGUACAGGAUAGGUAGGAGCCUUGGAAACCGGAGCGCCAGCUUCGGUGGAGGCAUCGGUGGGAUACUACCCUGGCUGUAUUGACCUUCUAACCCGCCGCCCUUAUCGGGCGGGGAGACAGUGUCAGGUGGGCAGUUUGACUGGGGCGGUCGCCUCCUAAAAGGUAACGGAGGCGCCCAAAGGUUCCCUCAGAAUGGUUGGAAAUCAUUCGCAGAGUGUAAAGGCACAAGGGAGCUUGACUGCGAGACCUACAAGUCGAGCAG